GUCAAAAUCAAGGCGAAUUUGCCUUUGUCAAAAUUCGGAGGAAUUAAACUUUCUCCCCAUAUUAAGAGCAGCUGAUCGAGAUUCUCAAGAUUCAAAGAAUCUAAGUUGAAGCAAUUAUUAGGGGGUAAGUACCAGUGAAGCUGAUGGCUCUUUGUGGCGCUGAGCUACCGAGUGCAUGCUACACCGUUCCUAAACAGCUCUAAGUUUCCUUCAAUGGUCGUCAAACCUUGGAGAAAUUAUGUUUGUAAGAAGUUCUGGCUGCCAGCACACAAACAAAACAGCGUUCGAAACUAGUAUUCGUGCUAGAAGGUGAUGUUCACAUUGUGCCAGCAGCAGGAAAAUUCCGCUGUUAAAAUCCCAUAACAAUUCAUCGAAACAUGCACUACACCUACGGGCGAAUAUGGGAAAUGUGCCUUGAUUAUUGUCGCAAAUUAAGGUUGACCCAAACACAAAUGGUACAUCGACUGCUUCACAAGCGCAACCAGCGCGCCAGAUUCGUCUGCAUCACCUCAACAAUAAAGAUGACUCAAAACAGAAUAAUUUUUAUGAAAUGCAUAAUUUUACGUAUAUUUCAAUUACAAAUUUACUAAACUAAAAUUAAAUUUCAAGUAAUUUAUGAAAUCGCGUGUUUAAACGAUUUAUGAUUUUACUAAACAUACUUACAUAUUUUAAGUGUGUAUUUUUUUACAGAAAAAUACAGAGCAUUUUUACA